rnacentral:rRNA from 1 species
GACGAACGCUGGCGGCGUGCUUAACACAUGCAAGUCGAACGAUGAAGCUGGAGCUUGCUCUGGCGGAUUAGUGGCGAACGGGUGAGUAACACGUGAGAAAUCUGCCCUUGACUCUGGGAUAACUGCGGGAAACUGUAGCUACUACCGGAUACUUUCCCUGGUGGGCAUCCACUGGGGCAGAAAGCAUUUCGGUCAAGGAUGAUCUCGCGGCCUAUCAGCUUGUUGGUGAGGUAAUGGCUCACCAAGGCGACGACGGGUAGCCGGCCUGAGAGGGUGACCGGCCACACUGGGACUGAGACACGGCCCAGACUCCUACGGGAGGCAGCAGUGGGGAAUAUUGCACAAUGGGCGCAAGCCUGAUGCAGCAACGCCGCGUGAGGGAUGAAGGCCUUCGGGUUGUAAACCUCUUGUAGCAGGGAAGAAGCGAAAGUGACGGUACCUGCAGAAAAAGCACCGGCUAACUACGUGCCAGCCGCCGCCGUAA